rnacentral:rRNA from 1 species
GUGUCAGCCGCCGCGGUAAUACGAAGGGGGCUAGCGUUGCUCGGAAUCAUUGGGCGUAAAGGGCGCGUAGGCGGCCCUGUUAGUCAGGCGUGAAAUGCCCAGGCUCAACCUGGGGACUGCGCUUGAUACGGCAGGGCUCGAGGAUGGAAGAGGGCCGCGGAAUUCCCAGUGUAGAGGUGAAAUUCGUAGAUAUUGGGAAGAACACCGGUGGCGAAGGCGGCGGCCUGGUCCAUUACUGACGCUGAGGCGCGACAGCGUGGGGAGCAAACAGGAUUAGAAACCCGCGUAGUCC